rnacentral:piRNA from 1 species
UGAACCGGUAGAAUAUGAAUA